CAACCCUCGAACCCCUCCGGGGGGUCGGCGUUGGGGAUCGGCCCUGCCUCUUGGCGGUGGCCGUCUCCGAAAUACAGUGGCGGUCUCGCCGCAGCCUCUCCUGCGCAGUAGUUUGCACACUCGCAUCGGGAGCGCGGCGCGUCCACAGCCGUUAAACACCCAACUUCUGAAA
rnacentral:misc_RNA from 2 species